GAAAAAAAUGCAGCAAUUCCAGACAACAAUUCAGGACUUGAGGGAUGCAAACUUGGCCCUGAAAAAUGAAAAUGAUCAUUUGAAAGACCUCAUAAUAAAGCGAGGACAUUGCCUCGCUUGCUGGAAGAUGUGCAGCAACCUCAAAACAAUUGCAGCCUCAACAUACUGUGGCAGCUGCAGAGCCUCAGAAGAAGCAGCCUGGUGAUGACGAUGAUGAUGGUGGUGGUGAUGGUGGAAAUAACAACAAAAUCCAUGGAGAGAGAACCGAAGCUCCAGAGAAAACCGAA